CCUGAUCUUCCACUGGAGCAUCCAAAUUUUGCAGUUGUGUAUCAAAUGACAGCAACCUUUACACAUUCAAAAUUUGAAGCCAAGAUACCACCGUCCAUAUGCUUGCAACCCCAAUAUUGUUAAAAACGAAGAAACAAUGUAAAAAUCCAAAUUUUACAUUUAGUUAUAGCUUUUGUGUAAACGGAGCUUCCACGGAGCUCUUAGUUCUAGAGAGUGCUCUGUGGAAAUAGCAAUGCAAGGGCAAGAUCUGAUCGGUAGCACUCAAACAGGUGAUCUUAGGGCUGUGCAAAAUGGUGUACAAAAAUGCGCAUGAGUCGGAAUUGUGAAACCAAGUCAACUCUCACUUAGAAGUUUAUGUACUAGGAGGUCAUCCUUGAGUGACCUGGCACGAGGAAUUUAACCAACAUGGGCAUGAAAAUUCAAGCUCGGGCAGUACCCCCAUUUCAAGGAAAAUGAGACCAUUCGACGAUGGUAACCCAAUGGCUUUCUUUGUUGUUUUUCCUUAAUGAGUUAACGAUUCCUUGCUUUUUACUGAGUUUUUGGCUAUGUGUUUUGUAUUUCUGAGCUUCAAGGCACAUUUGCCCAGUACAUAUAAUUGUUUUCGUAAUUUAGUAUUCAGCAUCGCUUGCCAAUUUAUUGCAUGAAAAUUUUGAA